rnacentral:rRNA from 1 species
GACGAACCGUACGAACGUUAUUCGGAAUCACUGGGCGUAAAGAGUGCGUAGGCGGCGAUAAAAGUUAGAAGUGAAAGCCCCGGGCUUAACCUGGGAAUUGCUUUUAAGACUGUCGGGCUAGAAUCCAGAAGAGGGUAGUGGAAUUCCGAGGGUAGAGGUGAAAUUCGUAGAUAUUCGGAAGAACACCAGUGGCGAAGGCGACUACCUGGUCUGGCAUUGACGCUCAUGUGCGAAAGCGUGGGGAGCAAACAGG